rnacentral:rRNA from 1 species
AUGAGGAGAGCAUGGAAAAAGAUAUUGAAGGUCAUUAAUCCUACGACUCGUUCUCUUCCCCAACCGCACGAGAGGUUGAAGAGGUGGAAAGGAAGUAGAAGAGGGUGCCGUUCGACCAACCUCUCAGGACAAGCUGCUCACGGAGGUGCCCAAGUACAAGCGGACUAUGUUCUCUGUCCUCCCCUAGAAGCGCCAACUGCUGAAUACGAGAAGAUUAGGGCUAAAAAUUUGAUGAGGAACAACCGCAUAUUCCAAUCACUUGGCAUCACUGCAUUAGGUAUGAUGGAAACCUGUCAGUCGAACAAGGAGAACCGUUUCGAAGUUAAGUUCCAUCAGAAAACUGGUUCUCGCCCCUACAUUUCUCAUGUUCAUGCUUUGAAAGAGGCUCGUAAGGGUGAAGAGUUGACUUUGUUUGAUCUAUUCAAGGAGUGCCACAAUGGCAAGAAGACUGAUUUCUCUGAGCCAGUUAAGAAGGCGAUAGCAAGUUUCUACUAUUCUUUUCUGUGUUGA